ACUGAAUCCAUAGGUUAAUGAGGCGAACCGGGGGAACUGAAACAUCUAAGUACCCCGAGGAAAAGAAAUCAACCGAGAUUCCCCCAGUAGCGGCGAGCGAACGGGGAGGAGCCCAGAGCCUGAAUCAGCAUGUGUGUUAGUGGAAGCGUCUGGAAAGGCGCGCGAUACAGGGUGACAGCCCCGUACACAAAAGCGCAUGUGCUGUGAGCUCGAUGAGUAGGGCGGGACACGUGGUAUCCUGUCUGAAUAUGGGGGGACCAUCCUCCAAGGCUAAAUACUCCUGACUGACCGAUAGUGAACCAGUACCGUGAGGGAAAGGCGAAAAGAACCCCGGCGAGGGGAGUGAAAAAGAACCUGAAACCGUGUACGUACAAGCAGUGGGAGCCCCACCACUAAGCCAGUGGUGAACUCCACAUCCGCAUCCUUUGCUGAGGAUACGGUUAACGGAGCGAAAGCGACGUUCAACCGCAAAACAAGCAGAGGGGGCUUAGUGGUGGGGUGACUGCGUACCUUUUGUAUAAUGGGUCAGCGACUUAUAUUCUGUAGCAAGGUUAACCGAAUAGGGGAGCCGGAGGGAAACCGAGUCUUAAUUGGGCGUUAAGUUGCAGGGUAUAGACCCGAAACCCGGUGAUCUAGCCAUGGGCAGGUUGAAGGUUGGGUAACACUAACUGGAGGACCGAACCGACUAAUGUUGAAAAAUUAGCGGAUGACCUGUGGCUGGGGGUGAAAGGCCAAUCAAACCGGGAGAUAGCUGGUUCUCCCCGAAAGCUAUUUAGGUAGCGCCUCGUGAAUUCAUCUCCGGGGGUAGAGCACUGUUUCGGCUAGGGGGCCAUCCCGGCUUACCAACCCGAUGCAAACUGCGAAUACCGGAGAAUGUUAUCACGGGAGACACACGGCGGGUGCUAACGUCCGUCGUGAAGAGGGAAACAACCCAGACCGCCAGCUAAGGUCCCAAAGUCAUGGUUAAGUGGGAAACGAUGUGGGAAGGCCCAGACAGCCAGGAUGUUGGCUUAGAAGCAGCCAUCAUUUAAAGAAAGCGUAAUAGCUCACUGGUCGAGUCGGCCUGCGCGGAAGAUGUAACGGGGCUAAACCAUGCACCGAAGCUGCGGCAGCGAACGUAUCACCCAAGACAACUUUACGGAGUUGACGAUUGACGGAGCGAAGCGACGUCAAAGCGUUCAUUAAAGUCGAGUUGGCUUAGGGAUACGUUCGUUGGGUAGGGGAGCGUUCUGUAAGCCUGUGAAGGUGUGUCGUGAGGCAUGCUGGAGGUAUCAGAAGUGCGAAUGCUGACAUAAGUAACGAUAAAGCGGGUGAAAAGCCCGCUCGCCGGAAGACCAAGGGUUCCUGUCCAACGUUAAUCGGGGCAGGGUGAGUCGACCCCUAAGGCGAGGCCGAAAGGCGUAGUCGAUGGGAAACGGGUUAAUAUUCCCGUACUUGGUGUUACUGCGAAGGGGGGACGGAGAAGGCUAUGUUGGCCGGGCGACGGUUGUCCCGGUUUAAGCGUGUAGGUGUGUGUUCCAGGUAAAUCCGGUUCACUUUAACACUGAGGCGUGACGACGAGGCACUACGGUGCUGAAGCAACAAAUGCCCUGCUUCCAGGAAAAGCCUCUAAGCAUCAGGUAACACGAAAUCGUACCCCAAACCGACACAGGUGGUCAGGUAGAGAAUACCAAGGCGCUUGAGAGAACUCGGGUGAAGGAACUAGGCAAAAUGGUGCCGUAACUUCGGGAGAAGGCACGCUGACACGUAGGUGAAGUGAUUUACUCAUGGAGCUGAAGUCAGUCGAAGAUACCAGCUGGCUGCAACUGUUUAUUAAAAACACAGCACUGUGCAAACACGAAAGUGGACGUAUACGGUGUGACGCCUGCCCGGUGCCGGAA
rnacentral:rRNA from 1 species